rnacentral:rRNA from 1 species
UGGGGAAUCUUGCACGAUGGGGGAAACCCUGAUGCAGCGACGCCGCGUGAACGAUGAAGCCCUUCGGGGUGUAAAGUUCUUUCGACAGGAACGAUAAUGACGGUACCUGGAGAAGAAGCUGCGGCUAACUACGUGCCAGCAGCCGCGGUAAUACGUAGGCAGCGAGCGUUGUUCGGAGUUACUUGGCGUAAAGAGUGCGUAGGCGGCGAGCCAAGUUUGGUGUGAAAUCUCCCGGCUUAACCGGGAGGGUGCGCCGAAAACUGGUUGGCUGGAGUAUGGGAGAGGAAAGCGGAAUUCCUGGUGUAGCGGUGAAAUGCGUAGAUAUCAGGAGGAACACCUGCGGUGUAGACAGCUUUCUGGACCAAAACUGACGCUGAGGCACGAAAGCGUGGGUAGCAAACA